UACAGAGGUCUCGAGCGUUAGGCGGAAUCACUGGGCUUAAAGCGUGUGUAGGUGGAUCGUUAAGUACCUUGUGAAAUCCCACGGCUUACCCGUGGAACGGCUGGGUAUACUGGUUGUCUUGAGCCACUUAGGGGCUACCGGAACAAAUGGUGGAGCGGUGAAAUGCGUAGAUAUCAUUUGGAACGCCAAUGGUGAAAACAGGUAGCUGGGAGUGUGCUGACGCUGAGACACGAAAGCCAGGGGAGCGAACGGG
rnacentral:rRNA from 1 species